CUCGUAGGCGGCUUGUUGCGUCGACCGUGAAAACCUGCGGCUUAACCGUGGGCGUGCGGUUGAUACGGGCGGGCUGGAGUUCGGUAGGGGAGACUGGAAUUCCUGGUGUAGCGGUGAAAUGCGCAGAUAUCAGGAGGAACACCGGUGGCGAAGGCGGGUCUCUGGGCUGAUACUGACGCUGAGGAGCGAAAGCGUGGGGAGCGAACA
rnacentral:rRNA from 1 species